CAUUGGCGCUAUUUUAUCAAGCUGUCGUUUUUCGGGAAAUCAUUUUUGAUGAACGCCGUUGAAGAAACCCGCACUGUAUUGAGUGAACAUUGUUCAGCAUCACAUGCAUACCAGAAGCGACAGUUAGCCAGCUAUGUCUACGUCUAGCAAACCCCUGUUGGAGCUGCUGCGGAACACACCACCGCCAGUCAUAGGCAGGCAAGAUACAAUGCGAUCAAUCCCUCCCCCACCACUCUUUCCUCUUCCCUUGACUAUCUUGAAGAUGGUCCCCCCUCCACCUCUUCCAAGUCAUUUGACCAGGAACUGUCCACCACAUCUGCAGCAAAUGGCCGUUAAUCAGACUGGGGCAAACAGCAGUUACGUGCCACAGAUGCAGGGAAUGCCAAGAGGCCCAGCAUGUCACGAUUUGGGUCGAGCAGUAAUCAAGGACAGCUCCAACAAGCAUGGCCGUCAAGUACAACGCAAUAUAAGCCCUCCCGUGGGGCGCUCGGCCGGCCGUCCCCGUGACCCGGCUGAUGGAGCGGGUCAUAUCGCCCCGGGCGAUGCGACUGCCGCGAGCCUCUCCCGGGACAGUGACGAAUCGGCGAGCUGCGGUGCAGCGGAGCUUGUGAUUGUGCUACGGAACCUGGUAAACCUGUUUACGAUGACGUCACAGGUCAAAAUGGCUCUCUCCAGGGUCCGCAUCAAGGCUGGCGAUGCAGGUAUCCAGCACCAGGUGGGACGGACUCGCGCCCUGGUCGAGACGUUCCGCGAACAGCUGGCUCGUCGGACGGUGAUGCUCGGCAGACUGAUCCCGGCUGGCACCAAUGGCAAGCCAGAGAUUCCCCGUGAGCUGCGCACCAAGGACCCGGCCGGCGGUCGACGUCUCCCCCCAGCCCGAGUCGGCACCCUCGCCCACUGACGGCGGCACCCAGGCGGCCAUCCUCUCACUGCAGGCGCUUGUGCUUGCCGACGCCGACCAAUCGUCGAGCCGGGCCAGUCGCUGGGGCAGCCGAGUCAAACGAAGGUUCCUGGCCGCCUCCAAACCGACUAGACGGCACAGCGACAAGCUGAAGGGCCCAGGCACCUGUGACACGUGGCCGGCACCAGAGGUCACGACCUCCACCGACCCGGCCUUGACCGCGACCGCGAGCGCCAAAGUGGAUUCGUCUUCGGAGGAGGAGGUGGUCGCCGGCGGCUACAUCUCCCCCGGCUGCUACGUGAUCGACGGCGCCGGCCUUCCCCGCGACGACCCGACCC